CGAGACACCGUCUCAAAAAAAAAAAAAAAGAAAGAAAAGAAAAGAAAGAAAGAAAGAAUGAAUAUGUCUUAACCAUGUUCAUAUAUGAAUGUCUCUGGUUCAUGAUUUGAAACAUAUAUCAUGAGCUAGAGAGAUGUGUAGAUGAGGUGACAGGUGCUGCACACACACAGAGACACACGUACACACACACAACUCUACUGUCCAAUUUUACAUUGUCCUAGCCCACUUUCUAAGGGAUGAGAAGGCUGUUUUGGGGCCCCAAGAGAAAAGAAAAUAUUUUGUUCUGUGACAGAAAACCCUGAAUAGAGUGUUAAUCAUUUGCUUUACAUUUAUCUCAUGAAUCAGGGUUUUAUUUGGAUUAAUAUGCACAUUUUAGAAAUGUGACUUCCCCUAAGAGAAUUGAGUAGAUCAGUCAUUGCCCAUUAAUGUGAAUUACUUUAAUCAGUACAAUGAGUAGCCCAGAACAGACUCCCAAUUAAUAACGUUUGAGCUUAAGAAGAGGGACUAGGAGACAGAAGGAGCAAAGCAGUGUUCAUAAUGUUUCAGGGACCGCCUUCCACAAACUGGACCUGUAUCUGAGGCCUGGCCCUGUAAUCUGAACACUCGCUGGAUAUAAAAUAGUGUGCAAGACCCUCUGUGUUCACAAGUCCCACCCCCAGGAAGUUCAGAGACUUUUCUCACAGCAUGCUGUGGGAAAUACCCCAAUUUUUUCUCCUAAGGAAAGGAAUCUGAGGAACAGGGAGAUGGAGCAGGAAGAAAGGAAACAAACAUUUGAGAAAAUAAGUAAAUAUGAGAAUAAAUGUUGUUUUAAAAAACGAUGAAAAAGUUGCAAGGAAAGUACAAGGGGGCAAAGUCCAGCUUAGAAGAAACAAGCUAUGACAUGAACUAUUUCAGAGAGAAUAAACAGGUCAAUCUUUAAAAGAUUGUGUUAAUAGACUCGCCGCCUAAAAAAACUCACAGAAGAAAAAGAAGAGAUAUCAAGAUACAAAGAAGUUUCACAUGGAAAAAAAUGCUUUAUAUUUUCACCCAACAAAAACUUAGUUGUUUGGGUAAAACUUUGUUCUUUGAAGUCCCAUAAAUAUCCCUUCAGAAAAAAAAAUUAAAUUUAAAGUACUUAGACUAAUUAAUGGUAUCUUUAUUCAAAGCAGAUAACAAAUCUAAUUAGAGGAAGUUGUGAACGAAUUUUAUUAUUAGUCUUAUAAUGAAAUAUACUUUAUUCAGCACCUUGACCUCCAUUCAAUAUCUUUAGCUUCUCAAUUCCUUCUCUCUCCAGUGACUCAUUUGACCUUGUCCUCACUGAUGACUAAUUGCAUCUCCGAAAUCUCCUUUUCCCCCUUCACAACCUUCUAUCCUUCUGUUUGGCUUCUUUGGAGCCCACCCUGUUUUUCGGUCUUUUCAAGAACUGUCAAGUCUGUGUUCAUCCAUCUCAUGUGUUUACUUCUUUCUUUAUCCAGUUUUGAUUCCUGAUCCAUCAUUCUGAUCUCCUUCUUGCAAACACCCCUUCAUUCCCCCUGUUUCUCUCAUCUUAUAUCCUACAGUGCUUGUCUGGUGAAACCCAGGCUCAGUUAAACCCAACCAUGCAACUGGACUGGAUUGCAGAAAAACACACAGCGCUGGCUGGAAUGUGGACAUGGAAGGGGCUCAGCUUCAAUCAUGUGCAUGAGGACAGUACUCCAAGGAAUAUCAGAGAAAUUGGUGAAAGGAACCUGGGAACCUGAAUGCUCUUAAGCAGAGCCAUCCAUCUGCUGUGGAUUGCCUACUGCCAUUUGGACUCCCUUGUGAAAGAAAUAAAUUAAAUUCUCUCUACAA